rnacentral:rRNA from 1 species
UACAGAGGUCUCAAGCGUUGUUCGGAUUCAUUGGCGUAAAGGGUGUGUAGGUGGCGCCGUAAGUCGGGUGUGAAAUUUCGGAGCUUAACUCCGAAACUGCAUUCGAUACUGCGGUGCUUGAGGACUGGAGAGGAGACUGGAAUUUACGGUGUAGCGGUGAAAUGCGUAGAUAUCGUAAGGAAGACCAGUGGCGAAGGCGGGUCUCUGGACAGUUCCUGACGCUGAGGCACGAAGGUCAGGGGAGCAAACGGG